ACCCAAAAAAACUCAAAACCAACCAAACAAAAACAACAAAAAAAAUCCCACAAACUCUAAGAGUGAAGAACUGCUGAAAACCUGCAAUCUGUCAGAUAAGCAAAACAGGUCUUAGGUGCUAAAUCAAGUCUCAGAAAAACACCCGGUUUAUUUCUGAGGGUCGAGAGAGGAACAAAGGUAAUGGGAAAAUGGCUAAAAUUCAGAUUUCAGAGAGUCAAGAAGGGUUCUCUGACAGGAACCUGAAUUGUGCAAAACCACGUCACGUGUCCCCAGGAACCUGUAAAUCCAGGAGUUCCCACUGCUGUGUCACUUAGGGUCAAUUACUCACCAUUUUCAGGCCGUGCAAGCUCUGGUUGUGGUUAAUAGCUGAUAACCAUGUGGGUUAUCAGCUGCUGGGUCCAAGACAGGCCCUGGAGAUCAGGACCUGCUGCUUUUCCCUGCCCUUGGGUUGGAGUUUGGGGUUUUCAGUGGGAUCUUUGCUGUAAUGGACCUUAAUGACUGCUCUGGGACUGACACUGGGGAUGUGAAUCAGCAGAGACUCAGCUCUGCAAGUGGCCGCUCUUUAAUCUGCACAGAAAGCACCAUCCAUGCCCCGUGAGAUGAAGCCACAUCUCAGCAAACUGCAGAGAACACCAGAGCAGGGCUGACCAGUGAACAAACAGAGCCUGGGCACGUGAGAGAGCUCCUGAGUGUCAGCUGAGCCCCAGGAGCUGACCUUGUCUGCUCUGGCUCCUGUUGGGGUUAGAUGAAAGGGGUUUAGGCUAAUCUUGCCUGCCUGAGAGCUGGGACAAGUCCCAGCCCACAGCUCAUUCCUGCAGCUAAGCCAGCACAGGGUGGUUUGUUCCAUCACAGCACCAAGGGGCCGAGCCAGAGCUGCCCCAGGUCUGCCUCAGAGCCAAAAAGAAGGCAUGACCUGCUGCAUGGGCUGUGAGGAAAGGGCUGGGAGAGAGCCACCACCACCCUGACACACAGAGGUGAGCAAGGACACCACCAGGGAAAGAGGCAAAACAGAGACCCAGCUUGUGUCCUGCCUCCAAGCCUGCAGAACAAAUUUAGGCAUUUGUUAAAUCGUUGUGACUGAAACAAAUCCCAUGACUGAACAUCAUCUCGUGGAAGGAGCUGGAACACCAGCUCGUGUGGGACUGUGUUCUCUACACAAAUACAUUCAGCCACACACAGUACAAAUCGUGUAUCUCCCCAGCUGCCUGAUGGUGAGAGCAAAUGCAGAUGUUAGAAACAGCUGUGCCUGCCUGAAAAGACUGCAACUUUCCCCCCAUCAUCUCUUUAUUUACUAGAGCAGGCUCGCUAAUCCCAGAAUUUAUAAAAUGCCUCCACAUGGGAAGGCUGUGUUUGCCGGGGAGGAGCAAGAACGAGCGCUCCCCCCAAAAACUCGCGGGUGCUUUAAAGGCUGAACACGAGAUGGCGCCAAGUCCUUGCAGCAGCACCACCGAAAUUUGGAUCAUUCCACCUGUCUCAGGUGGAAUUCCAGCCACAGCAAGCAACCGCAUUAAUGGCUUGCUUAAAUGCUUUUUAAAAUGCUGAACGAAAGGCGCAACACGCUCCUGAAAGGCUUUUUUUUAAGGACUGCAUGUAUGAAUGAACGCUUCUGGAAUAAAAAGAGAAGAUUGGGGAAAAAAACCCCAAACUGCUCAACUAGUUGUCUCUGGCAAAACCAUCUACAUAUUAAGGAUUUUUUUUAGCUGCAUCAUAUCUGUCCUAGUAAGAAGACCUCUAUUGUGUUCUGCUAAAUGAUGACAGAGGAGAAAAAAAAAAAGUUCUGUUUUUGUAACAAGUAGCUGUAGCUAAUGUGCAAAAUCUCAAUAUUCUAUUUUCUAAAUACAGAAUUUCUACUUUUAUGCAGGGGGAAAAUAUCUUUAUUCAAGCUCUCAACUUGAGUGUUUUGAAGUCAUUCUACCAAAUAAAAUAAACUACAGGCAUACCUUAACUACUUAAAAAAAGAAAGUUUUCAAAGGGUAAGAGAAGGCUGUGCCAGAGGAAAUUGGUGACAUGACUGGCCACAAAUCGCAGCUAAAGAUAAAGCAGGCUACACUUUCUGGUGAGACAUAAUGGAUUAGCUGCAUGGAGGCCAUGGGGAAGGAUUCUCCAACACCUUAUUUCCUGUCUGAAGCUGAUUUAUCCCCAUUUGCAGGAAAGGAAAUCCCUGAACGUUCCAGUGGGUAAUUUAAAAAAAAAAAAAUAAAAGAGGUUACCAAGUAUUGCAGUUUUCACUGUCCUGAAUCAUAAUGUUUAUUUGUUGUCUUAAUGCUGAUGCAGCCUAUGAGCACUGUGAUUUGGGGAAGCAGUGAAACCAUACUGUGACUAAAAUUUGUAGUCUUGGAGAAAAGCCUUCAUAAAGAAGGAUGUGAAAUCUUGUGAGAAUUCUUGAGCAAAUUGAUACUAAAAUAUCCAAGUGGUUGGGACUGAAUUCAGACUACUUUAGCUGCAACUAAUUUACUCCCCUUCAUAAACAGGAAAAUUACAGCUUCAUAAAAACCUUUCAGCAAAUAUAACAGCAAUUUGGAACAUACUGCAAAGUGAUGUAUCAAAAGAUGAUUUUUUAUUUCCUGCCUUAGAACCACGAGUUUCUAUCCAGGGAGCACAGCCAUUUGGAGCCUGCAUCUCAGAGGCUGUUUUGGCCCUCACCCUUCAGGGACUAUGAUCCAUUUUGCCACUUUUCUGCACAACCCAGUAACAGGGCAAGCAGCACAAGGAAAGAGCCCCUGGAUGCAUCAGCCUAAGCACCAUCCAGGCACACUUGCAGGAUCAGGAAUCUGGCCUGAACUGAAACUCAGCAUUGCCAAAAAUGUGACUGCGACACCGAGGAAGAGAAACUUGGUCAGGUCUGUUCAGUAAGUUUUAAGAACAUAAGAACAAACCUUGGUGAUUAAAUCUCAUUAGGACAAACUGUGAGAUCUCACAGAUAACUGUUUUUUUGAGAUGGAAGCAAUGAAGAUGAUUAGUAAACCCAUGUCCAGCAGUGC